AGAUUUUACCAGAAUCCGAAUACAUUAAAUUGUUACUCAUUUGUAUUAAGAAGACUAUUGGAAUCCUUAGUGCUUAUUAGAAAUUUGAAGUUCAGGUCGAAAUGUAUUUAACCAAUUUUAUAUGGAACUGAGAACUACAUCUAUUUAUUACUUAUGGAGACAAUAAUAAUGGCUACCCCGAUGACAGAGACGGAAUAACAAUAUUUUUGGAGCUGGAAUUGAUCGAGCUGCUCAAAUGUUGAACUUGGAAUUAAUUGGUGAAAUAGUAAACACAUGAAAGAAGUAUAUUGCUUGAAGUUUAUUUUGUUAAUGUAAUUAAAAUAUUUCGAAAGUAGUGAAAAGUGUAAAAGUUUUGUGUGCAAUGUGAUUUAUGUGUGAGGUGAUUUAUGUGUGAAGUGAUUUUUGUGAUACAUCCCGAAGGAGUUUUUAUUAUCGGAGUAUGAAUGCUGACUUCCAGCUAAUCAAGAAUGAUUG